CCCUCUAUUUCUGCUAGACUCUCUUCAGGCUUUUUGACCGAAUUCAUAAAUUUGGAAAACAAAUUAUUCCGAAAAUUUCACCUUUUCAACUUAUUCCUGGAUCCAAAUUUGUCGACUGGAGCUUCCAAAAUUUUAUAAAUAAAGCUUCUCCAAAACCUAACCACUGCCACUCUUGC